AUGAAAGCUUGCUCGGCCCCGGGGCCGGAUGGCCUCCCGGUAGUUUUCUUCCAGAAAUUCUGGGAGAUCCUACGUCCUGUCAUUAUGCCCAUGUUCCAUGAGUUCUAUAUUGGAACCCUGGACAUGGCUAGGAUUAACUAUGGUGUCAUAUCUCUGAUCCCCAAAGUAGUUGGGGCUACGGAUAUUCGGCAGUUCCGCCCCAACAUGGUGAUCAACGUGCUGGAGCGAAUCUUUGUGAAGGUUUGCGCGCCCCGUUUAUCCCCCGUGGUGGAAAGGAUUGCCCACCCCCUUCAGUCCGCAUGCUUGAAGGGCAGGCGGAUCCAUGACGGGAUUUUGCCCUUCACGAGAUCGUCCACGAGGUGGCGUCGAAGGGGCUUAAGGGUGUCUUCCUCAAAUUGGACUUCCAGAAGGCGUAUGAUCGUCAAGACUGGUCCUUUUUGA
rnacentral:rRNA from 1 species